GGUUCAGAUGCAGAUCCAACAUUGUUGGCAGAUUGGAGGCUGGCACGGAGCCCCGCACACAACCUGCUGUCCCAGCUUCCAAAGCAGAGAUGUUGUGAGAUGUCUGGAACUUGGUUUUGUAAGGAGAUCUUAGGGCCUGUGCUCAACAGUGUGGGGAACACAGACAAGUGCCAAGGAGAGCCCUGUCUUCGUGGAGUUCAUUGUCUGGCCCACACAGGGACCCAUGUGCCUGCCUCCCAGCCUCUAUUUCAGAGAAUAAUAAACUUUUGGAGUGUAAAGAACCCUU